GGUCCAAGAUGAGAAGUCGCGAGUCCCUCUAACAUCGAUGAUAAAUGGUCUUGCCCGAAGGAUAACCGAGCUCCAACCCGAGUCUAUCGAUCAGAAAUUUCGAUUUCCUUUAGACAAGUACGAUGAUCUCACAGGAAGCGGAAGAAUCAUGGUCCAUGGCGAAGAUUCGAAGAACUAACGAUUUAUCGAUUGGUCCGUGUGUCAGCAGGCUGGUGGAACGUCGAAUCGUUUGAUAAUUUGAUUAUUCUGCCGCGAAACGACGUUAACCAUGGCAAGAGACAGGCGUGUAAUCGCCGACACGGCACUCACUCAUCUAACGAGCGCGAAGAAAUCGCGUUGGGGGAAAAAGGAGAUCGUCUAGGGAUCCCUAGCAAUUGGAUAUCUAUAUUAAGGGCAAGAGAGAAAGAGAGAGAGAGGGAGAAAGGAAAAAGUGACAUUGCGGAGAAAUAAUAGUUCGUAUUCCCAUCUAGCAAGACUCGAUUGAAGACAAGUCGGCUGGAACAGCGUGGAUCCAUUCGGAACAGUGAGCAUCGAAAUGAAGCUAGGGGAUAACAUGACUAUGGAUGCGUGCAACGUAUGGGGCAACGUUCCUCCGCGAAAAUGUCGGCCACCGAAAAUCGGCGAUAUUCCAAAACACACGGCGAUCGACGAAGAGUCUCCAGGUUCCAUCCCAAAAUCGUUGACAAUCGCCGCGCCAACUUCGAGGGACAUUCCUCUGGACAGAGAAAAUCUCGUUUUCCCAUUGCCUUCCAGCGCCUCCACCGAGCAACACCCUUCCAUUCGAAGAUUCGAACCAAAACCAAUUCUAUCGUCCAAGGAAUCAUCGAUCAAGUUCCAAUAUCCAUCGACGAGACGAGAAUCCCAACCUCUGAACAUUUUCAACAAAUCCUCCUGUUCCCCGGACAAACAACGACAAACCAAACUUCCAAUAAACGUGCUAAACAAAUCACCAGAUAUAGACGAGCCAAAGGACCAAACGAGAGAGAGAUUCGCCGAUUUGGAAGGGAAGGUGACCAUCAAAUUACCAUCUGACGAAUCAACCACGCUUGGAUCAACGCGCAAAGAUCACGAGGAAUCCACCAGGAUUCCAUCCAGUCCAGAGGACGUUUCUGAUCAUGAGAUCGUCGAGGUGAGAAAGGACAGUGCCUUGUUUCUCGAGGAAGCCGAAGGGUUGCCGACUCUUCGAGAAAUUUUGAAGUCCAAGGCGCCGAGAGUGGUCAGACCUAGGAGAGAGAGCAGUGGAUACGCUAGUAAUUUGGGGACGUUCGACGAGGACAGGAGGAAUUCGUCGACUGUGGAUGUGUCGCAAGAUUUGUCGUUCCUCAAGGAGAGGCGCAGAUCCUCUACGACUAAACGGUUAAAUUCGAGAGUGAUAUUGGGGAGAGCUGAAGAAAGCUUGACAGAGGACGUCGAGGUUGGAAGCAUGCCUACCACAGAGGUGCAUAGAAAGGUGUCCGGAGCUGGAUUCGAGAUGCCUAAUAUAGAGGAAGUUAAGGAGGUUCUCAGAGAUGAAGCUCCUUCUAGGCUGGAGAGCCUGGAUAAUUUGUGUGGAUUGACGAAACCUAUCAAUUCUGAAGAGUUCUCCACGCAUUGUCGCCUAAGCGAUUUACCAGAUCGAGGCGACUCUCCAAAAGACAGAUCAGAAGUACCAUCCACUACUAAAUGCCAAGAAUCAUCGACCAUCUUCGAUCCUUACGAUUCUAUAAACCGCUUUUCGAUAUCUCCAACUUCGAGGAGUCAAACUCCAUUUAUUCUUUGCACCACGCCGACGAUCCACGAUUCGAAUUCUCGAAAUACCAAUAAACACACGGACAAAUCCGUCGAACGAUCGAAAGACGUCAAUUCUGACAGAAUUGCCAGAACUAUCAUGUCAAAAAUCAACGAAGCGUCGCCAUUGGACAAAAAAAUCUCUGUGAUUCAGAAGAAGGAAGAAACUACGACGAAGCAAUCCGUCAGAGAAAAUAUUGUUCCACGACCGAUCAAGAUGUACCAAUUGCUGUCCACCCAGUCUGAAGACAGAGCGGAGAGCGAGUUGCAGUUGGACAGAAGGAUAUUUCAAAUUUCUAAACAAGAUGACACGACUGCGGUUAUAUCUUCCACGAAACAUCCUUUGAACAAGUCUUCGAGCGUUUUCACGUUGAAGAGCAGCGCUUCUGGGGACAUCCAGACGUUGACAUGUGGUGAAACUGCGGACGAUUCGAACGUUAGAAAAGCGAUUUCACCUGGAGAGGUGGGAACGAGUCAGAGUUUUCUUGGAGACGCCUCGAGUGUCUCUGUGAGACCUAUUUAUCCUUAUUGCCCUUAUUCUCCGUAUGGAAGUCCCCAGGGAUCCCCCAGAAACAGGAGGAGGCCUUUGAGGGAGAGCAGGAGAGUCUCCAUUGACAACAAACAGGGAGCUCUUCAACUGAAUCAAUAUAAAUUGUUGGACAACAUUGGUCAAGGUUCCUACGGGAUUGUAAAACUAGUUUACAACGAAGAAGACGAGACCCAAUACGCGAUGAAGAUUCUGAGCAAGAAGAAACUGAUGAAGAAGGCGGGAAUAUUCGGUAGGAUGGCUCCGGGGAAAAAGGGUGCGGCCAACCCUUUGGCCAAAGUCUACAGGGAGAUCGCGUUGUUGAAGAAAUUGGAUCAUCCGAACGUGGUGAAAUUGGUCGAAGUUCUCGACGACCCGGACGAGGAUAAUCUUUACCUUGUUUUCGAAUUGGUCCAGAGGGGAGAGAUCCUUCAGGUGCCCACCGACAAACCUCUUGACGAGGAAACUGCCAGGAAGAAUUUUCGUGAUGUUGUAAUGGGCGUGGAAUAUCUGCACUACCAGAGGAUAGUCCAUCGCGACAUAAAACCUAGCAACCUGUUGGUAGACAGCGACGGUCGGAUCAAGAUCGCUGAUUUAGGCGUUAGUGCAGAACUGAGGGCAUCCGGAGAAUUAUUAUCCGGGCCAGCCGGAACACCGGCGUUCGCAGCACCCGAAACAACCACGCCUGGCGCCCAUUAUUCCGGAACGUUGUGUGACGUAUGGUCAAUGGGAGUAACAUUGUAUUGUUUGGUGACCGGAAGAAUACCUUGGGAUGGAGCCGGAAGUAUAAUUGGCGUUCAAGCAGCAAUACGCAGUGAACCGUUAAAAUUUCCAGAGAAACCAGCCCUUUCACAAAGUCUCCGUGAAUUGAUCUCAAAAAUGUUGGCCAAAGAUCCAGCUGAAAGAAUUACGUUAUCAGAGAUGAAGGAACACGUUUGGCUGACCAAUCGUGGCGCUGAACCACUGCCAAUCGAAGCUGACAACUGUCGACUUCCGGUUACCGUUACGGAUGAAGAAGUGGAACGAGUGGUUACGAGAAUACCCAAACUGGACACUUUGAUUCUUAUCAAAACUAUGUUGAAGCAGCACAGUUUCCAAAAUCCAUUCUUGUCGAAGAAGGGUGGAAAAACGGCGAAUACGACGGCGGAUAGCAUAGAAUUAUCCCCAUCAGAAAGAGCCGAGGAGAUCACACCUCAGGGGAAGAAAAUAAUUAGGAACGUAAAGACGGAGCAAUUUCAAAGAACAGGUAGAAGCAAUUCCGCCCCGGAUUCUUAUGAUUGGCAAACAAAUGGCAGACAAAUAUCUACAGAAAGUCCUCUACCUCCGGUGACAGAAGCGUCCAUUCAGGAAACGGAAAUGGAGAAACGGUGAUAUCACGGAUCAACAUGACGAAGAAAACCACAAUUAACCAAUUAGUUGAUAAAAACGCAACUAAAAAUUGAUUAUAGAUAUCUGGAAGGAAUAUUUUUACAUGGAAUAUUAUUGCAAUAGAUAUACAAAAUUUCGAUUUAAAAAUUCAAAAAUUUAGUUACAUGAUUGCAAUAAAUUAUUAAAUUUUUUUGAAAUAACUUCAAAAUAAUCAUUUUUUUUUUGGCGAAAAUAGUUAUAUUCUUUAUUUCAAAGUAUUGCAUCAUGUACCAUAAUGAUUCUUUUGGCAUAUCAAUUAUUUAUUCUGAAUCAAUUAUUUCGUCAUGUUAAUUACAAUUGCAAAUGAUUUGAUAGCAAACAACGUUCGUUUAUGAAUUCACUUUAAACACAUAAAACGGUAAAACAGUACUUCCUCGAUUUUCGAAAUUGAAAGUAAUAUUAUAAAUAAUUAAACAAAUUAUUGGACAAAGGAAUAUGUUAAAAUUAAUUUAAAGAAACGUUAUGAAAUUGUUAAUGCAGAUUAAAUGAACAAAAUAAGAAGAUAAGUCAGAUCAUUUUUAGCUGAGCCGAAUUUUUAAAUGUAGUUGUAAGAAAUAACUUAAUCUAUACUCUAAAAAUAAUUAAAUAUAAUGAAAAUUUUCAAUUGUCUCGAUUUAUCUCUUCGGAUAAUAUUCAUUUUGAUUCAUUUAAAUAAAUACAAUAUUCCAUUUAAAUAAAUACAAUUUAUUUUAUCUUAAUAAAAAUAAUUUCAUUAUGAAUUUAAUUCAAUUUAUUUUUCAAAAUGAAAAAGUUUUUCAAAAUGAGUAUGAUACAGCGUAAAAUAUUCAAUCGAAAUAAAAUAAAUAUUAACUUUUUAAACUUUCAACUUUUUAUGAAAUAGAAAGUUCGUUGAAAGGAUUAAUAAUUCUGAAGAGAUUUAAUAAGACACUUGGAAAACCAGAUGGCGUUUUACUUACAAAUUUUAAUUAAAUAGCUGUAGAUAGAGGGCGAAUGUUGUCAGUUGAGCGUUGAAAGAAUUAAACAUAUUUUCUAUUCACGCUAGAAUAUAAAGGAUUUAGAAGAACAGUUUAUUGAAACAACGAUAUCCUUUUAAAGAAUAUGUUACGAGAAUGAAAUAAUAAUAAUUUUUCGGUAAAUAUUUUAUUUCGAUUUUUAUAUAAUUUAAUAAUAAUGCACAAUUUCUCAUUUGUACAUGAUUUAAAUAAUUCGAUAAAGUUUCUAGAAUUAUCCAUAUGAGUGCCUAUAUCAACAAAUUUUAAUUCCAUAUUUUAAAUUCUAUUUAUCAAAAAGAAAAUUACAAAUUUAUUUAUAUUGGAUAAAAAUUAAAAUAUUUUCUUCGCAUAUUUCUAUUUCAUAUGUAUAAAUGCUUUAUUUUCUUAUAUACAUUGUUUAAAAAUCUGAUAAAAAUGAUCAUGCGAUUUCAAUAGAUAUUCUUGAUAUUUACAGGGUAAAUUAGGAAACUAGUCCUAUUAAAAACAAGAUAUUCAGAUUUGUCACAAAUUUAUUGAGAUCUUGGAAUAUAAAUUAUCUAAUAAAUCAGAGGAUUUAAUUUAACACGUAUAUAUUUCAUUGUAAUCGAUAGAUUACACAAAUUCUAACCUCAAAUCGCAAGAUCUUUUUUUUUGGAUCAAAUGAAACGAAGGCACUCAUAAAGUCUUGUACAUAUAUAUAUAAAUAAGUCUUGCAAAUUCGAGUGCAAAGCACGCGACCAAGCGAACGCAACCAAAGUCAGAUUCGUGAUUUCGUUGGAUCUUACUUGGAUAUCCGGGGGACCAUAAGUGCGUAUUUUAAUUUAAUCGAUAACCAUCGAACCUCACGACCGGAUACAUUUCAUAUAUCGACAGUCAUAUCAUGUCCCGACCUCGCAAAUUUUCUCGAAAUGAUGCAACCAUGUUCAUAUGAUAAACAUUCAUUUUCCAAUAUAUUAUUAACGUUUAUUAGCAACUAAUGGUAGUUGUAAGCGCAGUGAAUAGACGCCAUUAAAUUGCGACGAUGGUAAAAUUGUAGAAUAUUUUUUUAUAAAUAGAUAAAAAAAACUAAAAAUCCGAAGAAAUCCGAAGAGUUACUUAAAAUUGUAAAAUAUUUGUUUCGAUAACGUUGAAAUAUAGAAUGUUUCAUAAUUACAAGAUGAAAGAUAUAUUCUUUGCGAUGACAGUACGAGUAUUUGAACUGUAGAUUAUGCUGCUAUCGCACUGAGAUCUCAUAAGACGUUUGGUGCAUCGGUAGGCCUUUUACGUCUAAUUGUUACGGGUAUGUGUGUUAUAAUAAGAUUAGAAUCUUACGAUAUUUCUGAUGAUAUGUAAUAUUUCGAGACAAUGAAUUUAAUCCAAUUUUACUGAACUUAUUUGCUUUUUUACAUAUUAAAAAGCUUACGCUUUUUCUUAUCUUAAUCACAAGAAUUUUUAAAACUUUUACUACGAUACUUAAAAUAAUCUAAAAAUCUAGAAAAAAAAUAUAAAAUAUUUAAAAAAAAAAUAUUUUAUCAGUACUUUCUCGAGCUUAAAAAAUUUCUUAUAAGAUUCUAAUAAUUAGCUGUAACGAUUUAGAAAAUUAAAGGAUGUUAUACACGAGAAAAUGUUUAUCAAUUUUCAAUUGAUCUCGAAAAAAAAUAUUACGUAUCUACAGAAAUAUUUUUUCUAACCCUCGUUGACAAAAGCGAAGCGUUUUUCGGUUGUUCAAGUUUUUGAGACGCUUUUAUCCACGAUGGUGCCCUAUCAUGUAUAAUAGAUAUAUUUUACAAAUUAUGAAUAUUCUUACGAAAUGCACAAGAUAUUUUGUAUCUCUUAUUAGAUGCACACUGUUUCUUAAUCUAUACUUGUAAUAACAAAAUAAAUCGAAUCAAUUGACCCUCAA